rnacentral:rRNA from 1 species
AUUGAACGCUGGCGGCAUGCCUUACACAUGCAAGUCGAACGGCAGCGGACCUUCGGGUGCCGGCGAGUGGCGAACGGGUGAGUAAUAUAUCGGAACGUACCUUUCAGUGGGGGAUAACGUAGCGAAAGUUACGCUAAUACCGCAUAUUCUGUGAGCAGGAAAGCAGGGGAUCGCAAGACCUUGCGCUGAUUGAGCGGCCGAUAUCAGAUUAGCUAGUUGGUGAGGUAAAGGCUCACCAAGGCGACGAUCUGUAGCGGGUCUGAGAGGAUGAUCCGCCACACUGGAACUGAGACACGGUCCAGACUCCUACGGGAGGCAGCAGUGGGGAAUUUUGGACAAUGGGCGCAAGCCUGAUCCAGCCAUGCCGCGUGAGUGAAGAAGGCCUUCGGGUUGUAAGGUACUCUUUCGGUCCGGGAACGGAAA